UGUAGAAUUCCAAAACGUCGAUCUUUACUUAAAAAAAAAAAAUCAAUCAGAUUUUUAAUAUUAUUGUAUCUUGUUAUACUGUAUACUUAUUAAUUUGCAAUUUAAUUAGAUCUAUAUUUAACAAUACAAAAACUCGCAUUUAUAAAUAAAUACGACUCAUCACUGUAUGAGUUGAUACGAAUAUUGAAAUAAACAGGUGUUUCCGCUUUGGUGUAAACAUGAUGGUGAUCCGAAAUCUGAACGUCAAUUUUCAUGAUUAUUUCACGACGAAGAUCAUCACAUCAAUGAAUCAAAUAAUACGGACAUGCCUUUGGUAUUAGCAGGGUGCUUUCAGCAUACAUGUAUGCAACAAUACUUUCAUCUGUGAAUACCCACUUUCUAAGCCCACCAUGAACUACGAAGGUCAAUUAAUAUGUAAGGACACCAAUGAACAGACACUUUCCAAUUAUCCUACAUCAUAUACAUGGGUGGUCAAACUCACUGGAUGGUUUAUCAACACUCCCAUGCUCACGAACAGCCUUGCGCCAGGAAUUUUGCCCUGAAGUAACAUUGCAGUCUAUUGUCUCCUUUCUUUUUACAACCCUGGCAACCAUGCAGGAUAGAAGCUGAUCACUUGUACUUGACAGCAAAUAAUAAUGUCUUGGACAAGUCAAAGAAUUUCCUCCGCUCUUACAGAGAAAUGACAGUUGAUAAAAGAAUGGUGGACACAAAGUAAAAGUGCUCUUCAACAUUUUGUUGAAGAUUUCAGUCUGAUUUGGAAUUCAUCUUGCAAUAUUUCUGUAUUUGUAUAUUUGGAUAUAAGCGUCAAAUUUUCAACUUAUUGACUAAACAGUUUUGCAUUAAAUAUUGCCAAUGCUAUCUAUUAUUAUUAUUUCCCUCCAAGAUAACAUGUCAAGUCUUUAUUGUACCCCUUAAGCUCUGUUAUACCAGAAAAAUCUUGUAAUGAAAUCAUUUAGUUUUUUUUUCUUGUUAAAUUAAAUCCAUGAAAAUAAAGAUUAUUUUUAAUGUCAUCAAGAGAAUGGAUUUCUUGUUUAACAAAAAGAUAGUAAACAUGUUUUGCUAGGGCUUUGUAAGAAGCAGACCAGAAUUCUUUGCUUGCAGACUUUUGUCAUUCGCCAUUUUUAUUACGUCAACUAUUAGAUGAUUUAUCCAUGUUUGAAGCAUUUCAAAAUUGAUAUUUACUUACAGUUUAAAGCAGAAUUCUGUACUGAUAUGACCUUGACCCCCUGAAGAACAAGAGUGUCAAGGUCAAUUUUUAAUACAAAAAUGUUCUUUCAUCUUUAUGGCCCAUAUCUUACAAACAAUAUCAUGAAAUAUACAAAAAGUGUCUAGAAUUUGUCCAGAAUGUGAAAUAACAAACAUGUAUAUAGCAAAAAACUUUAAAAUGAUGUUGCUUAGCAACCACUUAAAGGUCAUUAAACAGAUAUUUGAACUAAAAUGAUGCAUGGAUAUUGCAGUUCUGAUCCCUUCUUGAGAGUAUAUUCAGAAUUUUCCAUUUCAGCAUCCAUUGUGUAAAAUUAUGGCAAGAAUAUUGAAAAGUGUUGGAAAAAAUUGAUGAAACUUUUGCACUUAUUUGACCUUUGACCUCCUAAAAAUAGUUCUAAUGAGGUCAAGCUUUAAGACAAUUUAUCUGUUGUAUGUCCCUUAUAAUUUUAUGACCUCACAUCUAACUUUUAUAUGUGCUGGGAUGCAUAAAUAUGUCUAGGAUGAGUAAAAAAUGAAAAUUUCUGCCCGAAAAUUAAAGAAUUCUGCGUUGCUUAGCAACCCCUUUUAAGUAGUUAUAUGCAGAAUUGAAAAAAAAGUUUAUGUGUUUCAUGUAGUACAGUAUAAUGCUCUUUUGUGGGUAUAUCCCAAAUUUCCUAUUUCAAUGUACAUCAUGCUUAAUAUUUAGCUUAAAGAUGAAAAAGUAUCAAAAAAUUCCAUAAAAUUUUGCACUUAAUUGACCUUUGACCUCAAUUUUUACUAAUAAGGUCAGUGGUUGAGUAUCUAAAUAGUCAUAAAAUAUCAUAUGUAAGAAAUUUCCUACAAAAUGGUAUGCAUUAUGCCUAGCUUUCCCCUUGGAUAAAAAAGUUAGAAAUAAUUUAAUAAUGCCAUAUCAAAAGGCCUCCAAAAUCAGGUGAAAUGCGCCGG